rnacentral:rRNA from 1 species
GACGAACGCUGGCGGCGUGCUUAACACAUGCCAGUCGAACGGAAAGGCCCUGCUUUUGUGGGUUGCUCGAGUGGCGAACGGGUGAGUAACACGUGAGUAACCUGCCCUUGACUUUGUGAUAACUUCAGGAAACUGGGGCUCAUACCGCAUAGGAGCUCCUGCUGCAUGGUGGUGGUUGGAAAGUUUCGGCGGUUGGGGAUGGACUCGCGGCUUAUCCGCUUGUUGGUGGGGUAGUGGCUUACCAAGGCUUUGACGGGUAGCCGGCCUGAGAGGGUGACCGGGCACAAGGGGACUGAGAGACGGCCCAGAAUGGUACGGGAGGCAGCAGGGGGGAAUAUGGCGCAGUGGGCGGAAGCCUGAGGUAGAAACGCCGCGUGCGGGAUGACGGCCUUCGGGUUGAAAACAGCUUUCGAAUGUGACGAAGCGGGAGUGACGGUAAUGGGUAAAGAAGCAACGGCUAACUACGUG